rnacentral:rRNA from 1 species
CUCAGUUCGGAUUGGAGUCUGCAACCCGACUCCAUGAAGCUGGAUUCGCUAGUAAUCGCGCAUCAGCCACGGCGCGGUGAAUACGUUCCCGGGCCUUGUACACACCGCCCGUCAAGCCAUGGAAGCCGGGAGUGCCUGAAGUACGCGACCGCAAGGAGCGUCCUAAGGUAAAACCGGUGACUGGGGCUAAGUCGUAACAAGGUAUC